GGGUGUUUCAUAAAGAGUCUCUCUUAAAAGUCUCUCUUAGUGUAAAUCAUGGAAAGUCUCUCUUAAGCUACCAGAGACUCCCGUGAAAAUUUAUUUUCCGUUUCAUAAAGAUCUUCGAAGACUCUCCUAGCGUAAGAGUGACUUUAUGUAAAUAAAAAAUUUGCAUAUCAUUUGCAUACGUCAACAGCGAAUAAAACUUCACUUCCCGCCGCUGCAAGACAGUGCAAUCUUUUGGGUGGAGAAAAGAAACGGGGAUGCCCAUGCCGGUGAGUAGGAAGCAUCGACAUUGAGGGCUCCGAAAGGACUGGAGAAGAGUGUAAGCGCAAAUGGCAGAAGAUUGAAUCAAAGGCUCCGAGAGUACGAGCCUCAAGUUAACAGGAGGUAGACCAGCAACACCAAUGUCUUUCAUUGACUCCCUAGUCCUCGAGAUGCUGGAUACAGAGGUUGUAACUUGUUGACGGCAUCUAGAGCUCACAGAGGCAGGAUUUGACAUUGAGGAGGAUAAUGCUGCUACCAGCAUGCUGGAGGACGUCAUUGGAGGUGUAGAGGAAGAGGAAGGGGCCUGGAUGAAGGAGAGGCAGUA